ACAAAAGACAUUAAUUCAGCUUGUAUUAAGUCGCCCAGAUUGAUAAAGUCGUGUAUAUAUACGGAGUGAAGACUAAUUUGAGCUUCUGCCAGAGUAGAGGUCCAGCCGGGCGUGAUGGGCGCCAAAACUUUAAUCGCACUCUUGGCUCUGGCGGUGACCUUGAUUGGCGGAAAUCCUAUCAAUGAAACGACAUCGAGCGAAGAAAUCAGCGAAGGCCCUCAGCCGGUGACAGAAGGAGGACCCACGACCUCGACAUCCUCAAAGCCGUUCGAGAAGGAUUUUAAAGAAAUGAAGAAAAAAGGAGAUAAGGUGGUUAAUGCCCAGCGCACCUACGGGAAGUGGAGACCUAAAGGACCUUUUGGAUAUUACGGUUUCUUUGAGGGUGAUAAAAAAGUUC